UACGUAGGGGGCAAGCGUUGUCCGGAAUCAUUGGGCGUAAAGCGCGUGUAGGCGGUUCGAUAAGUCUGCUGUGAAAGUCCAGGGCUCAACCCUGGGAUGCCGGUGGAUACUGUCGAGCUAGAGUACGGAAGAGGCGAGUGGAAUUCCCGGUGUAGCGGUGAAAUGCGCAGAUAUCGGGAGGAACACCAAUUGCGAAGGCAGCUCGCUGGGACGUCACUGACGCUGAGACGCGAAAGCUAGGGGAGCGAACAGG
rnacentral:rRNA from 1 species